UGGUUCGAUGGGUUCUUCGAAUAUCUAUUUGACAUUUUGUACUAGCCUUUCUACUGAAUGAAUAGAUUGUAUAUGUUUGCGAACACUAGUUUGUGGUUGUAACUUGUUGUCCAAGGAACAGAAGCUUGUGUUUGACGGGGUUCUGCAACCAGAGAACAAGAAGACAAAAAGCAUUCCUCAAUACUGAAGAUUAAAUCAAAAGUUAAAAGGAAAAAAAAGAGAUAAAAAGAGACGUUAGAAGAAAGAGUGUGGUUCUUGCUGAGAUUUAGGAAUUAUUGUUAUGAUAUUGUGGGAUUUCUCAAAGAAAAUGUAAAAUAUCGAAACGCUUCCU